rnacentral:piRNA from 1 species
GAACAGGACAGGACCAGGCUGUCCCCUGGAA